rnacentral:rRNA from 1 species
GAAAGAUUCAUCGGAAGAGGAUGGGCAUGCGCGCCAUUAGCUUGACGGCGGGGUAACGGCCCACCGUGGCGACGAUGCGUAGGGGUUCUGAGAGGAAGGUCCCCCACACUGGUACUGAGACACGGACCAGACUCCUACGGGAGGCAGCAGUGAGGAAUAUUGGUCAAUGGGAGAGAUCCUGAACCAGCCAAGCCGCGUGAGGGAAGACGGCCCUAUGGGUUGUAAACCUCUUUUGUCGGAGAACAAAACCCGGGACGUGUCCCGGACUGCGUGUAUCCGAAGAAAAAGCAUCGGCUAACUCCGUGCCAGCAGCCGCGGUAAUACGGAGGAUGCGAGCGUUAUCCGGAUUUAUUGGGUUUAAAGGGUGCGUAGGCGGUCCGUUAAGUCAGCGGUAAAAUUGCGGGGCUCAACCCCGUCGAGCCGUUGAAACUGGCAGACUUGAGUUGGCGAGAAGUACGCGGAAUGCGCGGUGUAGCGGUGAAAUGCAUAGAUAUCGCGCAGAACUCCGAUUGCGAAGGCAGCGUACCGGCGCCAGACUGACGCUGAGGCACGAAAGCGUGGGGAUCGAACAGGAUUAGAUACCCUGGUAGUCCACGCAGUAAACGAUGAAUGCUGGUUGUCCGGGUCGAAUGAGACCUGG